GCCCUCGUAGAUCAACGGUAGAUCGCCACAUCGAAUAGCCAAACAGCAUAAGGGUUGAGUGGGGCGUGUGGGUUCGAUUCCCGCCGGGGGCA